UGGGGAAUAUUGCACAAUGGGCGCAAGCCUGAUGCAGCCAUGCCGCGUGUGUGAAGAAGGCCUUCGGGUUGUAAAGCACUUUCAGCGAGGAGGAAGGUGGUGAGCUUAAUACGCUCAUCAAUUGACGUUACUCGCAGAAGAAGCACCGGCUAACUCCGUGCCAGCAGCCGCGGUAAUACGGAGGGUGCAAGCGUUAAUCGGAAUUACUGGGCGUAAAGCGCACGCAGGCGGUUUGUUAAGUCAGAUGUGAAAUCCCCGGGCUCAACCUGGGAACUGCAUUUGAAACUGGCAAGCUAGAGUCUCGUAGAGGGGGGUAGAAUUCCAGGUGUAGCGGUGAAAUGCGUAGAGAUCUGGAGGAAUACCGGUGGCGAAGGCGGCCCCCCUGGACGAAGACUGACGCUCAGGUGCGAAAGCGUGGGGCAGCAAACAGGAUUAGAUACCCUGGUAGUCCAGCGCUGUAAACGAUGUCGAUUUGGAGGUUGUGCCCUUGAGGCGUGGCUUCCGGAGCUAACGCGUUAAAUCGACCGCCUGGGGGAGUACGGCC
rnacentral:rRNA from 1 species